rnacentral:rRNA from 1 species
GAUGAACGCUGGCGGCGUGCUUAACACAUGCAAGUCGAACGAGAAUCAACGGAUUGAGGAUUCGUCCAAAUGAAGUUGAGGAAAGUGGCGGACGGGUGAGUAACGCGUGAGGAACCUGCCUCGGAGUGGGGAAUAACAGUUGGAAACAGCUGCUAAUACCGCAUAAUGCAACGGAAUCGCAUGACUCUGUUGCCAAAGAUUUAUCGCUGUGAGAUGGAUUCGCGUCCGAUUAGAUAGUUGGUGAGGUAACGGCCCACCAAGUCGACGAUCGGUAGCCGGACUGAGAGGUUGAACGGCCACAUUGGGACUGAGACACGGCCCAG